UACGUAGGUGGCAAGCGUUGUCCGGAUUUACUGGGCGUAAAGCGCGCGUAGGCGGCUUUGUAAGUUAGAGGUGAAAGCCCGGAGCUCAACUCCGGAACUGCCUUUAAAACUGCAUCGCUUGAAUCCAGGAGAGGUGAGUGGAAUUCCGAGUGUAGAGGUGAAAUUCGUAGAUAUUCGGAAGAACACCAGUGGCGAAGGCGGCUCACUGGACUGGUAUUGACGCUGAGGUGGCGAAAAGCGUGGGGAGCAAACAGG
rnacentral:rRNA from 1 species